rnacentral:piRNA from 1 species
UCUGGCUGUGUUCAUGAACAGAAGUG